GAUGUACUUCCUCCGUCCCAAAAUUCUUGUCUUAGAUUUGCCUAGAUACGGAUGUAUCUAAUACUAAAAUGUGACUUGAUACAUCCGUAUUUAGACAAAUCUAAGACAAGAAUUUUGGGACGGAGGGAGUAUUGU
rnacentral:pre_miRNA from 1 species